rnacentral:rRNA from 1 species
UACGUAGGGGGCAAGCGUUGUCCGGAAUCAUUGGGCGUAAAGCGCGCGUAGGCGGCCCGGUAAGUCCGCUGUAAAAGUCCAGGGCUCAACCCUGGAAAGCCGGUGGAUACUGCAGGGCUAGAGUCCGGAAGAGGCGAGUGGAAUUCCUGGUGUAGCGGUGGAAUGCGCAGAUAUCAGGAGGAACACCAAUAGCGAAGGCAGCUCGCUGGGACGGUACUGACGCUAAGGCGCGAAAGCCAGGGGAGCGAACGGG